rnacentral:rRNA from 1 species
AGGCCUCUGGGCUGUAAACCUCUUUUCUCAAGGAAGAAGAUCUGACGGUACUUGAGGAAUAAGCCACGGCUAAUUCCGUGCCAGCAGCCGCGGUAAUACGGGAGUGGCAAGCGUUAUCCGGAAUUAUUGGGCGUAAAGCGUCCGCAGGCGGCCCUUCAAGUCUGCUGUUAAAACGUGGAGCUUAACUCCAUCAUGGCAGUGGAAACUGUUGGGCUCGAGUGUGGUAGGGGCAAAGGGAAUUCCCGGUGUAGCGGUGAAAUGCGUAGAUAUCGGGAAGAACACCAGUGUCGAAGGCGCUCUGCUGGGCCAUUACUGACCCUC